GUGGGGAAUAUUGGACAAUGGGCGAAAGCCUGAUCCAGCCAUGCCGCGUGAGUGAUGAAGGCCCUAGGGUUGUAAAGCUCUUUCAACGGUGAAGAUAAUGACGGUAACCGUAGAAGAAGCCCCGGCUAACUUCGUGCCAGCAGCCGCGGUAAUACGAAGGGGGCUAGCGUUGUUCGGAAUUACUGGGCGUAAAGCGCACGUAGGCGGACUAUUAAGUCAGGGGUGAAAUCCCGGGGCUCAACCCCGGAACUGCCUUUGAUACUGGUAGUCUCGAGUCCGGAAGAGGUGAGUGGAAUUCCGAGUGUAGAGGUGAAAUUCGUAGAUAUUCGGAGGAACACCAGUGGCGAAGGCGGCUCACUGGUCCGGUACUGACGCUGAGGUGCGAAAGCGUGGGGAGCAAACAGGAUUAGAAACCCUGGUAGUCC
rnacentral:rRNA from 1 species